AAUUGCAUAGCUUAUAUCCCCGAGCAUUGUGUUUUUAGCACAAAUGGAAGUUUAAAACUUGUAGUUU
rnacentral:tRNA from 1 species